rnacentral:rRNA from 1 species
CCUACGGGGGGCAGCAGUGGGGAAUAUUGGACAAUGGGCGCAAGCCUGAUCCAGCAAUGCCGCGUGAGUGAUGAAGGCCUUCGGGUUGUAAAGCUCUUUCGCACGCGACGAUGAUGACGGUAGCGUGAGAAGAAGCCCCGGCUAACUUCGUGCCAGCAGCCGCGGUAAUACGAAGGGGGCUAGCGUUGUUCGGAAUUACUGGGCGUAAAGGGCGCGUAGGCGGUACUUCAAGUCAGGCGUGAAAGCCCCGGGCUCAACCUGGGAACCGCGCUUGAGACUGGAGAACUAGAGUUCGGGAGAGGAUGGUGGAAUUCCCAGUGUAGAGGUGAAAUUCGUAGAUAUUGGGAAGAACACCGAUGGCGAAGGCAGCCAUCUGGACCGACACUGACGCUGAGGCGCGAAAGCGUGGGGAGCAAACAGGAUUAGAUACCC